GACGAACGCUGGCGGCGUGCUUAACACAUGCAAGUCGAACGGAAAGGCCCUGCUUUUGUGGGGUGCUCGAGUGGCGAACGGGUGAGUAACACGUGAGUAACCUGCCCUUGACUUUGGGAUAACUUCAGGAAACUGGGGCUAAUACCGGAUAGGAGCUCCUGCUGCAUGGUGGGGGUUGGAAAGUUUCGGCGGUUGUGGAUGGACUCGCGGCUUAUCAGCUUGUUGGUGGGGUAGUGGCUUACCAAGGCUUUGACGGGUAGCCGGCCUGAGAGGGUGACCGGCCACAUUGGGACUGAGAUACGGCCCAGACUCCUACGGGAGGCAGUAGUGGGGAAUAUUGCACAAUGGGCGGAAGCCUGAUGCAGCAACGCCGCGUGCGGGAUGACGGCCUUCGGGUUGUAAACCGCUUUCGCCUGUGACGAAGCGUGAGUGACGGUAAUGGGUAAAGAAGCACCGGCUAACUACGUG
rnacentral:rRNA from 1 species